rnacentral:lncRNA from 1 species
GUCUUUAUUUCUGCCAUAGUGACCGCAAAGCUUCAAGAUGGUGGCUAUUUUGUUUGCCUGGUCUCUGAGUGACCACCGAGAGCAGAGCCCACCAGCUGAUCUAUGAUGAACAUGUAGCUUGAGGAAGAAAGAAAUCUUCUUUGUUUUCAGCUAAUCAUAAUUGGACUGUUUAUUAUUUCAAGGUAAUGGAACCUAUCCUGCCUGAACCUACUCCAGCCAUGUGCAGUUUCAAUUCCUUCCUCAGGCCUUGGUCCCCAGUCUUAAUCUAGCAAGGUGAAUUUUUCUUCCGAAGAGGCAAGGAGUGAAGUUGCUUCAGACCUGCCAGUAACUCGGGAUGCUUCCCUAGAAGUCAUCCAUGGAGCUCCUCAGACUAUCUUUUGUGAACUGGAACUCACCUUCUGUUUCAUUAUGUGGCAAGAAUGACAUCUAUAGGUAUGAUUUUUAAAAUCAUGUAUCGUUGUUGAGUUAUUGUGUUUUGUCCUCUGUCAGCUCACCAAAAAAAAAAAGAAGCGCAUUUUCUUUUUUUGUAAUUAUGUGAUUCAACUCACAAAAAAACUUCAGUUUUUACCUGACUGCAUUAAAAAAGUAUAUUUUGUAUUCUUAUAUACAAAUGUAUGGGAAAUUCAAAACUGAAUUAUGAAGAGAUCUCUCACUAAUUUCUUGACCAUACAUGAUUGUCAUUUUUAAAGGAAGACAGGAAGUUUCCAUCACAAGGAUAAUGCAUUCAAAUGAAAUAACCGUGUCUCCUAUCACAGAAAGAUGAGCUAUAGAAAAGCUGUUUCAAAUUUCCUCCUACCCCAAAGUGCUGUCAACACCAUUCUGUAGUCUUUCAAUUACAAGACUCAAAUUAGCAGCAAUUGUCACUAAUAGCUUACUAAUUAAUGCAUAUUCCCCUGGGGCGUCUAGUCUAUCAGAUAGACUUCAGCUCUGAAAAACAUACUGGGCCCAUUUGCCAUACUAUCUUAUUCUAUGAAAUUCCUGUCAUCAAACAAUAAUACCAGCAAAACUAGCCUACUUAGACAAUUCCUUUUUUCUGUUUCCUUUGAUUAGCACUGAAACUACACACCAAGGUUAAUCAUAGCUAAAAUUUUGAAUUAGAUUAAAUUUGCCCUUGAAGCUCUCUCAAUUAACCUCACUGCAUUUCUUUCUUAACUCCUGACACUCGUUUCUCUAAAGAUAAUGUCAUCAGAGAGGUUUAUUUUAACUGGAAAUGUCUCUACAUUCCAAAAUUAUAUUUCCACAUCUUGCUUCCAUCUCUAGGGUACCCCAACUUUAACUGGAUGAUGCUAUGUCACAUAAAGCUGUACAUGGACAAUGACACUUCAGUGCUUUCCUCUUCUUGGGGCUAUUUUUAUUAUUUAAGUAGACACAUUAUUGUAUGCAAGGUACCAAUGUGAAAUACUGAUGCUAGCGAUGACAAAAAUAGUCAAACUUUGUAAAAUAUUUGAAGAGAUUUAUUCUGAGCCAAAUAUGAGAGACCACAGCCCAUGACACAACCCUCAGGAGAUCCUGAGAACAUGGAACGAAGGUGGUUAGGGAGCAGCUUGGUUUUAUACAUUGGUUUGGUCCAGAAAGUCAGGACAACUUGAAGGGGUGGUGUGCUUUCAGGUUAUAGGUAGAUUUAAAUUUUCUUGUUGACAAUUGGUUGGGUUUAUCUAAAGACCUGGGAUCAACAGAAAGGAAAUGUCUGGGUUGCAAUAAGAGGUUGUGGAGAGCAAAGUUUAAUCAUGCAGAUGAAGCCUUCAGGUAAGGGCAUCAUACAGAAUAGAUUGUAAAUGCUUCUUAUCAGACUUAAAGGUCUGUAUUGAUGUUAACAAUGGAGUAGUAUAAUGAGGCUUGUCUGAACCCCACUUCCUAUCAUGGCCUGAACCAGUCUCUCAGGUUAAAUUCUAAAAGUGCCCUGGUCGAGGGGGAAGUCCAUUCAGACGGUUGGGGUGCCUUAGAAUUUUAUUUUGGGUUACACUAGGAAUUCAAAGAUGAAUGAAACAAAAAUCUGUGACUUCAGUGAAUUCCCCAUUUUAGGAGAGACAUCGAUUUGUUAACAAUAAUAACAGUAUCUAGCAUUUAUUAAGCCUCUAUUGUGUGUGAGGCAAUGUGCUAAGCUUUUCUUUGUAUUACCUUUUUUUAAACCUCACAGCAACCCCUCAAUGUGGGCAUUAUUUUUAUUCCCAUUUUACAAAAGAGAAAACUUCCAAAGAGUAAAGUCACAUAUCUAGUAGAAGCCCAGCCCAGAAUUUGAACCUACAUGCAUCUGUUCUCGAAGUCAGAGUUCUUAAAGCCUGUGCUAUACUAUUUGCCAUACAAUAAAACUGAUAUAAUAAUAAGAAAAAUGCUUAGUAGUUGCCAAGCAGUGUGCUAAGUGUUUUUAUGUCUUACCACAAGCACUAAUCAUUGCAACCCUAUUAUGUGUUAAAAACGUAAGGCAAAUUUAACAGAGUUUUAUUGAGUAAAGAACAAUUCUCAAAUCAGGCAGUCCCCAGAAGAAGAAUAGGUUCAGAAUGACUCUGGGGCUACUGCAUGAUCAGGUAACAUGAAAGGGCAGAAAAAGGAGAGUGAAGUUAGGUAAAGUAACAUCUAGGAUGGUUACAGUUCAGCAUUUGACAUCAUUGAAUAUGCUUAGAACAGGUGGAUACCUGUGAUUAACUGAAACUCUGUGAUUGGUACAAGAGUAAGCUACAGGCUCUUUACACGUCCAUUUAGGUUACAGUUUACUAUGUAUGGAGAAAUCGUUAGGCCAAAAUUUUGGACUAAAGAUUUAUGUGACAUAGCAUCAUCCAGCUAAAAUAUGUAAGACGGGAGCUUUAGCUAAACUUUAUUUUAACAUAUGGAAGCACCAUUAUUUUCUAGAAUUUAAAAUGAGAAUACUAAGACUGGUUGAUUUGCCCAGAGAUACAGAACUGUGUGGGAUAUGAUGAGGUUUCUCUUCGAAUAAUCUGAUCAAUCUUUUAUCCUUUAAUUCAUGCCCCACUUUCUCCUUUUUCUCCUUUUUUUCUUUGUUAGAUGCCCAGGCACACCACAGUACCAGGCGUUAUCAGUACCAGCUCACCUUCCUUUCCCUAUUUGGAAAGAGGACUAACUUUCUAGCUCAUUACAGACAUCCCUUCCCCUUCCUCUCCACUUUCUUUUACAUGCCCACCUUAUCCAAAAAAAAAAAAAAAAAAUCAAAUGUUUAGCCAGCCGGGAUUACUUUAGAUUGUACGACCGGACCCCAGCCAACGAGGAAAGGGUACAGGGGCAGGACUUGCAUCAGGAAUAAAGGCUCUCAUGUCCCUUUGUUCAGGUGUGCUCUCAUGGCGACUGGCCAAGGAGGCACCCCUCUGCGCAGAAGUAAAAUUGCUUUUUUAAGAAUCCUUUGAACGAAUGUUCAAUUUCCUUAGGAUUUUGAGCGUUAUUCCUAACAACUGUUAAGUAGAAGAAUUAGGAUUUGAACUCAAGUUGAGACAGUGCAAGUGGCAGCUAUAUCAAUAAUCUGAUAUAUUUAGAGAAAAAAAUUAAGGAGGUAUUAAAAUACUAUUUAUAAUAUCUGAAAAUCCCUUUAUUUGUUGAAAAAAAUACUAGGGGCCUAUUGAGUGUCUAUUAAGUGCUUGUCUCCAGAGUAAAGGCAAAGAAUAAGAACUAAAAACACUCAUUCCCUUUAAAGUGGGUGUUGCAGGUGCGACUGGCUGGGGCCAGUGUCGUCGUGGGUGGUAAAGGAUUUUACCAAGACAUUCGUAGGUGAAGAAAGGAAGAUUUAUUACAGGGAAAGUAUGUUGAAGGGAAACAACAGGCAGCACAGCAGAGAAGGGGUUGUCUGCAAAGAGGCAGGGGCUGGAGGGAAGUUUUGUAGGCCUGUGCUAAAGAGGCUACGUGCAGAAAGAGGUGUUUGGGAACAGGAUGUUGUGCCAGUAGGUUGCUUGCAAUUAGCCAUUUCUCAGAGCAUUUGUUUUCCCUUACCUGGGACCCCUUCCUUGUUGUUGCUUACCUAUCUUAUCAGGACUCCACAGUGGACCUCAGUCUCCCAUGAAAAACAGCAGAUGGGUAAAUAAGCAAUCACUCUGGUGAGAUAAACUCAUAGGGGAUAUGGGACAACAAAGAAGGAGCACCUAGCUUAGACUGGGUGGAGGAAAUACCUAGGUUGAAACAUAAAGAGUCAGGUAGGUAAAAAUGAAGAGGAAAGUUGCUCUACCUAGAGAGUGUGAAGGCCUAGAUGCAAAAGACAACAGGACUCAUUCUCAGAAUUGGGGCAGCUUAGGAUGGCAGAAAAAAAAAAAAAAAGAAAUAAGAGAUGAGACUGGGAGAAGACUCUAGAUCCUAAGCCACUUUAUUUGAGUCUUGACAAGAAAUUAAGCAAGAAUCUUGAGAGUUAUGCAGAGCCCUUGGAGAGUUUUAAGCAGAAUGGCAUCGCCAGAUAAACCAUUUUAAAAGACUGCUCUGAUUGCUAAGCAAAGAAUGGGUUAGAAAUUGGCAAAGAGUGAAAUUUUAGACAGAGAAGUUAGAAAACUUUUGUGGUAAUCCAUGAAAAAUAUAGUAGCAGCUUAAAGGAAGAAGGUUGGCAGUGAGCCCUAAGAUAAAGAUAAAUUUACUAUAUCUUUGAUUCAUUUUUUAUUGUGCUGUUGUGGUGGAUCUAGUCAGAUAUUAACAUAACUAAUAGAACUUUUGAAAGGGUGUACUUUUUUUUUUGAGACAGAGUCUCGCUCUGUCACCCAGGCUGGAGCGCAAUGGCGUGAUCUCAGCUCACUGCAACCUCUGCCUCCCGGGUUCAAGCGAUUCUCCUGCCUCAGACUCCUGAGUAGCUGGGAUUACAAGCGCGUGCCACUACACCUGGCUAAUUUUUGUAUUUUUAGUAGAGACAGAGUUUCACCUGUUGGUCAGCCUGGUCUCUAACUCCUGACCUCAUGUUCCGCCCGCCUCGGACUCCCAAGUGCUGGGAUUAGAGGCGUGAGCCACUGCACUCAGACAAAAGGGUGUACUUUUUAUUAUUAAAGAUGAAUAUUCAAUAUGCAGUAGCUGGAAUUUUUAGUAGUGUGAAUUUUAGUGGGAUUUAUGUACAUAUAGACCUUCUCAAAUUUUUAUAUAGUAGGUGUCUUAUCGAUAAAUCAGAAAAGUUUUCUAGCCAUAAUUUGAGCAGUUUGAACUAAUAAUGACGCAUAUAUUUAAUGCAAUGCUUUUAUAUUCCAAAACUGAGGCUGAAUUACAUAUAUAAUACAUACAAUUAAAAUUUGUGACUUGCAAACUAAGAAACAAGAAGUCCUAAAUGUCAAUGCAAGCCUUAAUUGUAGAUAUAAAUUGAAAAGAUAAUUAACUCUCUAGUACGUCUUAGAACGUCUUGUUACUGUUAAUUUCAAUAAAGUCUGUAGAAAACCAAACAUUCAUCAUAAUUGACUAAAUAUGAAAGACUAUAAGGCAUAGUUUAAUCUUUACUAACAUAACAAGUUAGAUUUCCUAUGGGUACAGUUUGAAAAAGUAAUCCAAGAGAAAUGAAAGUUAAUUUACAACACAGUCAAGUUUGAAAUUAUGAACAUAGAAAAGAAUAAUAGUUGAUAAAUAGCUUAUUAACAAAGAUGUAUUUUCUCAUACUUCCUCCUUCGAUUCCUACCUAUAGACUUAUUUGAGCUUUGUGAUAGAACAUAAUACUCAUCAGGUAAGGCAGAUUAGUAUCUCACUUUUUUAUUUCAUUAUACUUCACAUUUUCCAAAAAAUAUUUAAGAUUGCUUAAACAGAUAAAAAAUAAGACAAAAGAAAAAAAGUUUAGAAAAAUAAGCUAGAUGCAGGUGGAAGGCAAUCUACUGAAUUUGGCUGUGUUCACAAUUUGGUUGCAAUGUUUUCUAGUUAUAUGACUGUGGAUGAUUAUUUAUUCUUUCUGUUCUUAGUUUCUUCAUUUGUAAAAUAGGAUUAAUAACAAUAUGCAUAUCAUAGGAUUCUGAGAAUUAAAUGGAAUAAUCCAUAUAAAAUAUUUUAUAGGAUACUAGUGAGACAGCUAAGUAAAAAGGAGUCCCCAGAGGUUCUCCCAAUAGCCUAUGCACUGGGAGGAUGGGGUGGAGCCUCAGGAAGUUUGCUCCCUUUGCAUGGGGGAGAAGCCUGGCCUCUCCUGUUCCUGUGUGGUAACCUGGGAUUCAAUCUGUGAGAUGGGGGCCUGUUAACAGGAACCGCUUUUGCUUUGCUGAGUUUUUUCCUUUUAGCUGAAUAAAUUCCAUUCCUCCUCACCCUUCAAAGUGUCUGUGAGUCUGUCACGUAACAAGAACCCGUUUUUUUCUACAACACUACCUUGUGGUAAGCACUUCAUAAAUAUUAAUCAUGUUUAAAAAACAAACCUCCAUGAAUAAAUCUUCUAUGCUCCAAAGCUCAUAGAGCAAAACAAAUCCAUUGAUAACAAGUAUUCCUCUAUUUGAGAGUGAAGAAAGUUGUAUAGUGGAGAUCCUAACAGAGAGGACAGUACGUAAUGGAAUGGGUCUCAUCCUCAACAACAUCAUUUCAUAAAUACAACAAUGACCUGCUUAAGACUCUUUAUUUUAAGGCCCAUUGACAUAGGGCAGCAAUGAUAAACCAAAAUGUAACUCAGUUAAAAAUAAAUUCUGCAUCAAACCAAUUUGGUAUGAUCCCAGUGAAUGUCUUGAUAAUGACCUGACUAAAUCAAAGUAUAAAAUAUGGAAUAACUAGAUUAACAAUGGGCUGAAUAUUUUUCAAGAAAAUUUCCAGAAAUAUAUUUCUCAGUAUUGCUAAGCUCCUGAAAGAUAUUUAAGAGCACUGAGCUUCAGAUUAUAUUCUAUUAUAAUUGAUAUAACAUAAAUCUUAUCUUUAAAGCCUCCUGGAGAUUAUUUACACCAGAAAAAAAGCAUUGCUAGGAAGAGAUAAUGUAUCUUUGCGAUAUUCUAAGAGAGAACAAUAAGCAAGUCUUAACGAAGACAGUGGCCCCUGGUAUGCUGCAAUUUUUGGUUUAAUAUAUGUGUAUAUAUAUAUGAACACACAUAUAUAUGAAGUAUCUAUUUGUAAAUUGUUGUAUUUAUAUAUAUAUGCACAUAAACACACACACAUAAACAAAUAUCUCCAAUCCUGAAUUUAAGAACUGCUACAUUGCAGAGUAACAUAUUAAAAUUGUAAUAAAUAAUUGUCUAUGCAAUCAGUAAACAUUUAUCGAGUGCCAGUUAUGUGAAAGGCCCUGUAUUAGGCUCUGAAAACACAGUGGUGUACAAUAAAGGUGAGACCACUAUCCUCCUGGAGCUUACAUGGUUGUGUUGGUGAGAGAUGAGGAGGCAUUAGGUAUUAAAAAUACCCUUUUCUUCCCCAUCUUAUAACUGAUCCUAAAUAAGACAGAAGGGAUAGGCAGGAGAAGAUCAAAAUGACCAGACCAUGUGGUUACAAAUAAGUGGUGGGACAGGUCAAUGAGAAGAGCAGAAGCCUUGAAGGUCAUGGAAAGUAAUUUAAAUUUUAUUCUGUGUGCAAUGAAAAGGAAUUAAAGGCUUUUAAGUAGGGAUCAGUGUUACAUAAUUUAAAUUGUGCAAAUGUCAUGAUGUAGCCUAUGGGAAUUUGAUAGAUAUCAAGAGUGGAAGCACUGAAGCUUUUAAUGGACACAAAGAGUUGAUUCUCAGACUAGAAUAACAGUGGGGAAGUAGAGAAGAGGAUGGAUUAGAAAAAUAUUUUGGAGAGAAAACGAAGCUCUUUAAUUUUGUUUAAUGCAAACACACAUUUGAUUUUUUAAGAAAAUAUUUUACAGAACAUCUUUUAAUAGCCUGAUAGAGUUCCAGAAGACUUGGGAAAUGUUAACAGAAGCAGUUCAUCCAAACUUUUUCCACCUCAUACCACUGAGCAGCAAAAACAAGUAGGAAGGACUGUCGUUGUCAAACACAUUCUACAUACUGAAAAUAACCCUCAUCAAUAAUAAAAUAGUCUGUUACUAAAAUUAGAAGAUAGGCAGCUCUGAUCUACCUUCAGACCCCACUGGGUUAAGAAUAUGAGAAUGAUGGGUAAGGUAAGGAUGCCCAGACAUGUGAUAUCUAUGGUGAACAGAAGCAGAGACAGCAAGAGCCGAAGUAAGAAAUGGAGAACAGAUAUUGUUAAGAGUGUGCUGAAGCUCAGUUUCAAGCAAUAAAUAAGAUUCGCUGAAUGCUUACAAGGAAACACAAUCAAGCAAGCCAGGUGUGCAGUAAUCAGAGACCAACUGGCUCUUUUUGUGUCUAGAAUGAAUUUUAAAGAAAGACAGUCUCUGGAAUAGAGGAUGAAAUCAAAAGGAAAAUGACUCUUUUGUGUCUACAAUGUGUUCCAGGGAGAAAUGACUAUUGAGAAUUUACUGCUUCUUUUUCUUAUCAGUCAAACACACAAAUAGCAAUUGCUAAAUAUUAGUAACACUUUGUAUUUUAUGCCCAGGAAAGAAAACAAAAAUAAAUAAGUAAAAAUGAAAAUAAAUCUUACAUCUCAAAAUAUUUCACAAAUUACCUCACUUAAUCCUCCGAUAUGCUGAUUCCCAUAAACACAACAAACUUUCACCACAAAAAAGUUUGGAUGUCUUAAUUUAUAGACCUUAUUGCUCUCUGCCUUUUCCUCCUUACCUAUCUUUAGGAAAAACACUCCUAUUUCAUUUGUUUCAUAGAUUGAUACUUAGUUGAACAUUCUACAAAUGCUGUUGCUUAGCAACCUAUUCACAGCACCCCAUCUAAGUCUUCAUCUAUUAACCUUUUCAUCUGUCCAUUAAGCUUGGUCCUUGUACUCCAGUGAAUAAACAAAACUUUGCUAGAUUAUCAUUCCUUUUUUUUUGUCAGUUUUUAAAAACUUCUGUGACUUUUCUGAUUCAACUAUCUAAUCUGUCUCUCAUUGCAGAUUACUGAACAAGUGUCAGGGAGCAAAAUGUAUGAACGAGUUUCCAGUUCUGCAUUGCUCAUGAAAAAUUUGAACUGUAUGUUAUAAUUUCAGAGUAUGCUAAAAAAAAACAAUCAUUUUACAGAGUUACCAGUGUCUUUGAAUCCAAAAUGUCAAACAAAAUUUACUAAAUUCAUAUUAAGGGUAACAGAUCAUGAACAGUAAAAUAGUAACCAAAAUUGUGAAUACUGAAAACAAAAGAAAAACUACACUACAGAAUCAAAACAAACUUCAACGGUAACGCAACUUCUGGCAGAGGCUAUCUUUAUUUUCAAUUUGACAUUUUACAAAAAAGCUAAAAAAGAGAUCAAUCAAAUACAAAAAUUCUAAAAGAUGACAUGAGCUUCUCUUAUGAUACUGGUGUCAAUAAAAUAGCUAAUUCACCUCAAGCAUGCUGUGAGGCAGAAGACAUUUAGAGUAUACACAGUGUACUGGAAAUUGUUAUAGUUUUUGUAACUUGUGUGAUAACUCACACAUCAUUGCCUUUUUCUGAAAUUAAAACAUCUCCAAAGCUUUCACAGAUUCUGAAUCACUCCAUAUUAAUUCACAACUCAAGAAAUAUUCAUUAUGCAACUUCUUUAAUUUUCUCUACCAAGAAAAAGUCAAAUUAAAUGUGUUGCUCUCAGCAGACAUGAAAUAUGCCCAGUACUAAAUGUAUUUUUAAGAAAAAAAAUAGUAAAAUUAAAUGCAAACUAUAGGAUAGUUAUGGGGGGAUCUACCUUGGCAAAUUUUUCACAUUCCAGUGAAAAAUAUGCAAUUUGAAUUCUUUCAAUAUUAUACAUUUUCUAAAGAAUCAAUAUCAUAUAAGUUAUAGAGAAUUCUGAUUCCAAAACACAAAGCUUAUCAAUAGUUCUAGGAAUUUUGUAUAUGACUAUUAUGCAUAUGAUAUACAUUUUAUUAAACAGAGUAAGAUUUGGAAUAUUCUGAAUGAACUAUAUCAAAAAAUAACUAAGGGACAUUUUAUUAAUUAUUUGCACUCCAUUUAGUUAUUUUUACAUGCAAACUUCUCACAUGCAAGGUGGUCAGAAACUAAAUCAAUAAAAGAAGAACCAGAUGAAUAAAGUAUAGAGAAGUGGAUAUGAAAGCACUGCAAAGCCAUUCUGAAAACAAUGAAUCUUGUUUGCCCUUUUGGACAUAAAGCUGGCAACUAGCAAGGAGAUGGUUCAAGAUAUUCUGUCUCUGAGAAGGCUCACCAAAGAUAUUUUAAGAGUUAUUUAAGCUUUUUAUGAAGUCUUCCCAGAAUCUUUAGAUAAAAGUUCAGCUGCGGAGUAUGUAUGACAUAUUAUCUCUAUAAUGUGUGCCACAGUCCAUCCAUUAGCAUGUCUACUUCAGUGAAACCAGGUCUGUACCUUCUCAACAGUUAUC